GCUACACAUGCAGUCGAACGGCAGCACAGCAGUAGCAAUACUGUGGGUGGCGAGUGGCGGACGGGUGAGGAAUACAUCGGAAUCUGCCUUAUCGUGGGGGAUAACGUAGGGAAACUUACGCUAAUACCGCAUACGACCUACGGGUGAAAGCGGGGGAUCGCAAGACCUCGCGCGAUAAGAUGAGCCGAUGUCGGAUUAGCUAGUUGGCGGGGUAAAGGCCCACCAAGGCGACGAUCCGUAGCUGGUCUGAGAGGAUGAUCAGCCACACUGGAACUGAGACACGGUCCAGACUCCUACGGGAGGCAGCAGUGGGGAAUAUUGGACAAUGGGCGCAAGCCUGAUCCAGCCAUGCCGCGUGGGUGAAGAAGGCCUUCGGGUUGUAAAGCCCUUUUGUCCGGAAAGAAAAGCACUGGAUUAAUACUUCGGUGUUCUGACGGUACCGGAAGAAUAAGCACCGGCUAACUUCGUGCCAGCAGCCGCGGUAAUACGAAGGGUGCAAGCGUUACUCGGAAUUACUGGGCGUAAAGCGUGCGUAGGUGGUUCGUUAAGUCUGAUGUGAAAGCCCUGGGCUCAACCUGGGAAUUGCACUGGAUACUGGCGGGCUAGAGUGCGGUAGAGGAUGGCGGAAUUCCCGGUGUAGCAGUGAAAUGCGUAGAGAUCGGGAGGAACAUCUGUGGCGAAGGCGGCCAUCUGGACCAGCACUGACACUGAGGCACGAAA
rnacentral:rRNA from 1 species